rnacentral:rRNA from 1 species
AUUGAACGCUGGCGGCAGGCCUAACACAUGCAAGUCGAGCGGAUGAAGGGAGCUUGCUCCUGGAUUCAGCGGCGGACGGGUGAGUAAUGCCUAGGAAUCUGCCUGGUAGUGGGGGAUAACGUCCGGAAACGGGCGCUAAUACCGCAUACGUCCUGAGGGAGAAAGUGGGGGAUCUUCGGACCUCAUGCUCUCAGAUGAGCCUAGGUCGGAUUAGCUAGUUGGUGGGGUAAAGGCCUACCAAGGCGACGAUCCGUAACUGGUCUGAGAGGAUGAUCAGUCACUCUGGAGCUGAGCCACGGUCCAGGCUCCUACGGAAGGCAGCAAUGGGGAAGGUUGGACGAUGUGCGAAAGCCUGAUCCAGCCAUGCCGCGUGGGUGAAGAAGGUCUUCGGAUUGUAAAGCGCUUUAAGUUGGGAGGAAGGGCAGUAAGUUAGUACCUUGCUGUUUUGACGUUACCAACAGAAUAGGCACCGGCUAACUUCGU